CAGCGUCCACGACUCCAUGCCAUCCAACCUCUAAGGUCUCCAGCUUCAACUUUCCGCAACUCUCCAACAACAGCAGCUGCAGCGACGCAGCCUCCACCACUCCACGUUCCUCCUGCAAACGGUGCAACCUCCACCACUCCACGUUUUUUUAGGUUGUCCUUAAUCCACGUAGUAAGUUGAGGCUUCUUACUUUCCACCUAAAAAGUUUUUAUUAUGAGAAUUGGGUUGAAGAUUUGUUGUCAAGGGUGAGACAUUUAUUAUCAGACAUGUAUGCGGAGUAUAAUGCUCCAUUUGGUUCUACCUCGACUAGCAAAGAACAUGUUCCCUCUCCGGCAUCUGCACUUCUAAAUGAUGCUGAAGGCAAUCAUGAGUCAACUUUUUUAUGAGUGAUUGCUAGCAUUGACUGCCUCUGGAUCUACAACUACCAAAACAAAGAUAGACCGGUAUUUAUCAUAUGGAUAUGGGGCAUUCAGCUAAUCUUUUAACUUGUUGAAUUGGUGGAAAGUGAAUGAGCCUAACUAUCCUAUACUUGCAAGGAUUGCACGAGACGUAUUAGCCAUGUUUGUUUCCAUUGUUGUAUCAGAGUCAGCAUUUAGUACGAGAAGUCGUGUAUUUGAUCAUUUUCAGAGUUCGUUGGCUCCAAGAACUGUUGAGGCACUUAUUCGUAUUUCGUACUCAGAAUGGGUUGCGACAUCCGUCAACACCAACUGAUAUUCGAGACUCCAUGGAUAAUGUUGAGAGUUUUGUAGUAGAAUCUGGAGCAUCGUUCAUCACAACUUUUGAUGACUGAAGAGUCGAAGACUGCAUUGGGAAUCUAUUUGGAAUCUUGAAG